CCCUUAGAUGUUCUGGGCUGCACACGUGCUACACUUGCAGGUUCAGCGAGCUUCAUGCCCUGAUCUGAAAGGAAUGGGAAAUCUUUUCAAAACCUGCCGUGCUUGGGAUAGAUGUUUGCAAUUAUUCAUCUUCAACGAGGAUUGCCUUGUAAGCGCACGUCAUCAGCGUGCAUUGAAUACGACCCUGUAUUCUGUACACACCGCCCGUCGCUCCUACCGAUUGAAGUUUUCGGUGAGUUGACAGGAGGAUUUUUUUGAAACUGGUUCGCCAGUGGAUUUUAGAUCCAAAUGCCAACGAAUCGAUGGCUUUAGAGGAAGGAGAAGUCGUAACA
rnacentral:rRNA from 1 species